AGAGUUUGAUCCUGGCUCAGGAUGAACGCUAGCGGCAGGCUUAACACAUGCAAGUCGAGGGGCAGCGGGGAGGAAGCUUGCUUUCUCCGCCGGCGACCGGCGCACGGGUGAGUAACACGUAUGCAACCUGCCCCUGUCAGGGGGACAACCCGCCGAAAGGCGGGCUAAACCCGCGUACAUGCCACCGGGGCAUCCCGGAGGCAGGAAAGGCUUCGGCCGGACAGGGAUGGGCAUGCGGCGCAUUAGGCAGUAGGCGGGGUAACGGCCCACCUAACCGACGAUGCGUAGGGGUUCUGAGAGGAAGGUCCCCCACACUGGUACUGAGACACGGACCAGACUCCUACGGGAGGCAGCAGUGAGGAAUAUUGGUCAAUGGUCGGGAGACUGAACCAGCCAAGCCGCGUGAGGGAGGAAGGUACAGAGUAUCGUAAACCUCUUUUGUCAGGGAACAAAGGCGGGGACGUGUCCCCGGAUGAGUGUACCUGAAGAAAAAGCAUCGGCUAACUCCGUGCCAGCAGCCGCGGUAAUACGGAGGAUGCGAGCGUUAUCCGGAUUUAUUGGGUUUAAAGGGUGCGCAGGCGGUCUGUUAAGUCAGCGGUCAAAGCCCGGGGCUCAACCCCGGCCCGCCGUUGAAACUGGCAGUCUCGAGUUGGAGAGAAGUAUGCGGAAUGCGCGGUGUAGCGGUGAAAUGCAUAGAUAUCGCGCAGAACUCCGAUUGCGAAGGCAGCAUGCCGGCUCCACACUGACGCUGAGGCACGAAAGCGUGGGUAUCGAACAGGAUUAGAUACCCUGGUAGUCCACGCAGUAAACGAUGAAUGCUGGCUGUCCGGGGGGGAUUGACCCCUGGGUGGCGAAGCGAAAGCGAUAAGCAUUCCACCUGGGGAGUACGCCGGCAACGGUGAAACUCAAAGGAAUUGACGGGGGCCCGCACAAGCGGUGGAGCAUGUGGUUUAAUUCGAAGCAACGCGAAGAACCUUACCAGGUCUUGACAUCUAGUGCCAUCCUAAGAGAUUAGGAGUUCCCUUCGGGGACACUAAGACAGGUGGUGCAUGGCUGUCGUCAGCUCGUGUCGUGAGAUGUUGGGUUAAGUCCCGCAACGAGCGCAACCCUUGUUAUUAGUUGCCAGCAUUAAGUUGGGCACUCUAAUGAGACUGCCGGUGACAAACCGGAGGAAGGUGGGGAUGACGUCAAGUCAUCAUGCCCCUUAUGACCUGGGCUACACACGUGCUACAAUGGGCAGUACAACGAGAAGCGAGCCUGCGAAGGCAAGCGGAUCUCUUAAAGCUGUUCUCAGUUCGGACUGCAGUCUGCAACUCGACUGCACGAAGCUGGAAUCGCUAGUAAUCGCGGAUCAGCACGCCGCGGUGAAUACGUUCCCGGGCCUUGCACUCACCGCCCGUCAAG
rnacentral:rRNA from 1 species